CCUCUGGUAGCUCAGUUGGUAGAGCGGUGGACUGUAGAUCCAUAGGUCGCUUGGUUCAAAUCUGGCCCAGAGGA